GAGGGUAUAUUUCAAGUGGUAGAUUGUGUGCUUAGCAUGCACGAGGUCCUGGGUUCAAUCCCCAGUACUUCCC
rfam:Camelus ferus unplaced genomic scaffold scaffold36, whole genome shotgun sequence.